CAGCGCCACAAGUGGGAAUCGUUUAUUUGGUCUAAAGCGUUCGUAGCCGGUUUAGAAAAUUUUCUGUGAAAUCAUCCAGCUCAACUGAAUGUUGUGCAGAAAACACUACUAAACUUGAGAUCAGGAGAGGUUUGAAGUAUUCUGGGGGUAGCGGUAAAAUGUGAUAAUCCCUAGAGGACUACCAAUGGCGAAGGCAUCAAACCAGAAUGACUCUGACGGUGAGGGACGAAAGCCAGGGGAGCAAACCGGAUUAGAUACCCGAGUAGUCC
rnacentral:rRNA from 1 species